rnacentral:sRNA from 1 species
ACAUUGAUAUCAUCCUCCUCCUCAUUGCCCUUGGAGACUUUCUCUCCUCUCAGUUGGGACUGGGCCUUCUGAAGAAGGGCACUGGUUGACCCUCUCUUGAUCAUCUCGUCACCUGAAUGUGAAAAGUUUACAGUUACCCCAGGGCCCUUGGGCCGCCCCGGAAGUUGGAGAUUUACCUACUGUCGAGAAAGCCCAGGAUGACGCACAGUUCUUCUGGUCUCGGACCGGAUGUAUCCACGACGUCCAGUUUAUCCUGGCAUCGAAGUGAAUCGGAAGCUGAUCCCGUUGCUCAGAAAUCACAGACCAGUAAGUAUCAUAACCUGGAGAUUGCCGGCGUCGGAUGUCCUACAGUACACCGUUACCGGAUGUCCUACAGUACACCGUUACCGGAUGUCCUACAGUGCACCGUAACCGGAUGUCCUACAGUACACCGUUACCGGAUGUCCUACAGUGCACCGUAACCGGAUGUCCUACAGUACAUCGUAACCGGAUGUCCUACAGUACACCGUAACCGGAUGUCCUACAGUACACCGUAACCGGAUGUCCUACAGUACACCGUAACCGGAUGUCCUACAGUACACCGUAACCGGAUGUCCUACAGUACACCGUAACCGGAUGUCCUACAGUACACCGUAACCGGAUGUCCUACAGUACACCGUAACCGGAUGUCCUACAGUACAUCGUAACCGGAUGUCCUACAGUACACCGUUACCGGAUGUCCUACAGUACACCGUAACCGGAUGUCCUACAGUACAUCGUAACCGGAUGUCAUACAGUACACCGUAACCGGAUGUCCUACAGUACACCGUAACCGGAUGUCCUACAGUACACCGUAACCGGAUGUCCUACAGUACACCGUAACCGGAUGUCCUACAGUACACCGUAACCGGAUGUCAUACAGUACACCGUAACCGGAUGUCCUACAGUACACCGUAACCGGAUGUCCUACAGUACACCGUAACCGGAUAUCCUACAGUACACCGUAACCGGAUGUCCUACAGUACAUCGUAACCGGUAGAUGAAGUUCCUUAUUUCCUCGGCCCUAGUUUGUAUUUUGAAUUAUCUCAGAUGACCACUUACGGCAUUUUCUACCAGGGAUGAUUGUGUUUGCUGGGGGAGGGUCUAGUACCUGUUUUUCGGUAAUUUUAACGUCAAUUCAAUAGGUUUGAAUUUUCCAAGGGGAGUGACGGUCCCGACACCCCCUUUCCCCGAUCCCCUCUCCGCGCGUGUGUGUAUUGCAAGUAACAGACAGACAGACAAACAGAGUUGUUGAUGUCAACAUCUUACCACACGUUGCAGUUCUCUCGUAGAGUUUCUCCAGGCUUGUACUCAUGGUCAUUAAACCUGCAACCAGCUACAACCGAAAAGGAAGAGUGAGAAACGGACAGAGCGUUAGUGAAAUAAGGGUAUACAUGUAGGUAUUCCACUCUCUGUAGUGGGUAUUGAAGGGCUUUUACUUAUAGUUACCGAAAACCUCAGUCAUAAAGUGAUUAUCGUCAUCACAAAUAAAACCCAUUUACCGGAUCGGAGUACUCGAUUUAUGACACCUAUACAACUCCAGACUACUUUAUACUGUACCUAAUACUAGUACAACCAAAACGUACCAUUAACCUACAAUUUGUAAUUUGCUUUUAAAGACAUAAAUCAAUACGUCCAAGAUGACCAAAUGAAUAUUUAACCUAGAUACAAUUCAGAAUAAACUGUUUACUGUUUCAUAAAAAUAUGAACGUAAGGAAACACAACGUUCACACAAUGCAUUGCAAUGAGCAAUGAGUGCAAUCUAGGAUAGGAAACUAGGACUGGAAUAAACUGACAUUUGUUUAUAUAAAAUGAAAAUCUGUUUUUACUCCGGUCUUGUCUAAAGAAAGAGGAACGCGGAAUUAUACAAACAGUAGAUGAUUGGAAAUAAAAUAGCUAGACUCUGAUCUAUUUGAUUGCUUUUUGUACAACAUAGAGAAUCAGCAAAAACAGAAUAAAUCAUGUAAAUCC